GCUCCACUGUGGAGCAAGCUAUGGUGGCCAUUGUGCAGUAUCUCUGUCAUCUGUGCAGAUAAUGUGAUAUGGACACAGCUGAAAUUAUGCCAUUUUCUCCAUUCUGAGGGUCUGCUGCUGACAUCCCUCCAGGCCUUGAACCACAGCUGGAGAAUUGAUACAGUGCAGGAUUGUCUCAGCCCUUUCUUCUGCUUAUAUCACCUCCACCACUAGAAGGGCAGAGAUAGCAUAGAGUCUCUACAUAGGCACUGAGCAACUGAAGAAUCUCAUGAGGUGAUCCUUCUGGAGCCAAAAGCCUUAUCUGUAUGGCUACAAUCUGCCAGUAGAGCAAAACUGAUGCACUAUGUUAGAAUAUCUUGCCAAUAAACCUAUUUCAAACCUUGCGACAAA